rnacentral:rRNA from 1 species
CCUACGGGAGGCAGCAGUGGGGAAUAUUGCACAAUGGGGGAAACCCUGAUGCAGCGACGCCGCGUGAGUGAAGAAGUAUUUCGGGAUGUAAAGCUCUAUCAGCAGGGAAGAAAAUGACGGUACCUGACUGAGAAGCCCCGGCUAACUACGUGCCAGCAGCCGCGGUAAUACGUAGGGGGCAGGCGUUAUACGGAUUUACUGGGUGUAAAGGGGGCGUAGACGGGGCGGCAAGUCUGAAGUGAAAGGCAGGGGCUUAACCCCUGAACUGCUUUGGAAACUGCAAUGCUAGAGUGCUGGAGAGGUAAGUGGAAUUCCUAGUGUAGCGGUGAAAUGCGUAGAUAUUAGGAGGAACACCGGUGGCGAAGGCGGCCUGCUGGACUGUGACUGACGUUGAGGCCCGAAGGCGUGGGGAGCAAACAGGAUUAGAUACCCUUGUAGUC